rnacentral:lncRNA from 1 species
UUGUGAGGUUGUGUGCUUGUGGUGGUGGCGUGUGGUUGUGUUGUUGUGAGCUUGUGGUGUUGUGUGGUUGUACUGUUACGAGAUUGUGUUGUGUGGUGGUGGUGUUGCGUGGUUGUGUUGCGCAGUUGUGUCGUUGCGCGGUUGUGUCGUUGCGCGGUUGUGUCGUUGCACGGUUGUGUCGUUGCGUGGUUGUGUUGUGUGGUUGUGGUGUUGUGUGGUUGUGUGGUUGUGUGGUUGUGCGGUUGUGCAGUUGUGUGGUUGUGUCGUUGCGCGAUUGUGUUGUUGUGUGGUAUGUCUGCGUGGUCCGGUUGUGUCGUUGCGUGGUUGUGUCGUUGCGUGGUUGUGUCAUUGCAUGGUUGUGUCAUUGUGCGGUUGUGUCGUUGUGUGGUUCCGUGGUUGUGUUGUUGGGCAGUUGUGUGGUUGGGCGGUUUUGUGGUUGUGUCGUUGCGCAGUUGUGUGGUUGUGCUGUUGCGGGGUUGUGUUGUUGUGUGGUUCCGUGGUUGUGUGGUUGUGUUGCUGUGUGGUUGUGUGACUGUGUCGUUGUGCGGUUGUGUCAUUGUGUGGUUGUGUCGUGCGGUUGUGUGGUUGUGCGGUUGUGUCGUUGCGUGGUUGUGUCAUUGCGUGGUUGCAUGGUUGUGUCGUUGCGUGGUUGCGUGGUUGUGUCGUUGUGUGGUUGUGUCGUUGCGUGGUUGCGUGGAUGUGUUGUUGCGUGGUUGCGUGGUUGCAUGGUUGUGUCGUUGCGUGGUUGUGUUGUGUGGUUGUGGUGUUGUGUGGUUGUGGUGUUGUGUAGUUGUGUUGUUGGGCGGUUGUGCGGUUGUGCAGUUGUGUGGUUGUGUCGUUGCGCGGUUGUGCGGUUGUGUUGUUGCGGGGUUGUGUCGUUGCGCGGUUGUGUUGUUGUGGGGUUGUGUUAUUGUGUGGUAUGUCUGUGUAGUCUGGUUGUGCGGUUGUGUCGUAGCGUGGUUGUGUUGUGCGGUUGUGCGGUUGUGUCGUUGCAUGGUUGUGUGGUUGCGUGGUUGUGUGGUGGUGUCGUUGCGUGGUUGUGUCGUUGCGCAAUUGUGUUGUGUGGUUGUGCGGUUGUGUGGUUGUGUCAUUGUGCAGUUGUGUCGUUGUGCAGUUGUGUCAUUGCGUGGUCGUGUUGUGCGGUUGUGGUGUUGUGCAGUUGUGUGGUUGCGCGGUUGCAUGGUUGUGUCGUGUGGUUGUGUCGUGCGGUUGUGCGGUUGUGUGGUUGCAUGGUUGUGCAGUUGUGUCAUUGCAUGNNNNNNNNNNNNNNNNNNNNNNNNNNNNNNNNNNNNNNNNNNNNGUUGUGUUGUUGUGGGGUUGUGUUAUUGUGUGGUAUGUCUGUGUAGUCUGGUUGCGCGGUUGUGUCGUAGCGUGGUUGUGUUGUGUGGUUGUGCGGUUGUGUGGUUGUGUCAUUGUGCAGUUGUGUCGUUGUGCAGUUGUGGUGUUGUGCGGUUGUGUGGUUGCGCGGCUGCAUGGUUGUGUCGUUGUGUGGUUGUGUCGUGCGGUUGUGCACUUGUGCAGUUGUGUGGUUGCGAAGAUAUGUUGUUGUGCGGUUGUGUGGCUGUGUCGUUGCGUGUUUGCAUGGUUGUGUCGUCGUGCGGUUGUGUCGUCGUGCGGUUGUGUCGUUGCGUAGUUGUGUCGUUGCCUCCCGGUCGUAUCAUUGCCUCCCGAUCGCAGUGUUUUAGCCGCAAUUCCUGAUGCCGCCGCGCGGUGGCGCUGUGACCGCAAUUCCCGGUGCCGCCGCGCGGUGGCGCUGUGGCCGCAACUCCGGGUGCCGCCGCGCGGUGGCGCUGUGGCCGCAAUUCCGGGUGCCGCCGCGCGGUGGCGCUGUUGCUGACGGCCGCCCGCAGGUAAAGGCCCCGAAACGCUGCUGGCCGGCCAGAGGUUGGACGACAACGAGUGGCACAGCGUGCGCGUCGUGAGGAGGGGGCGCAGCCUGCAGCUCUCCGUGGACAACGUCACUGUGGA